UACGUAGGGGGCUAGCGUUGUCCGGAAUCAUUGGGCGUAAAGCGCGUGUAGGCGGUCCGGUAAGUCCGCUGUGAAAGUCGGGGGCUCAACCCUCGGAUGCCGGUGGAUACUGUCGGGCUUGAGUACGGAAGAGGCGAGUGGAAUUCCUGGUGUAGCGGUGAAAUGCGCAGAUAUCAGGAGGAACACCAAUGGCGAAGGCAGCUCGCUGGGACGUGACUGACGCUGAGACGCGAAAGCGUGGGGAGCGAACAGG
rnacentral:rRNA from 1 species